AGACAACAAAAUGUAAAUAUUAAUUUUGUCACCUUAGGUCGAUCGGUAUCUCAGGUUCUUAUUAAUCAUAAGGAUUUCAGUUUCUAAGUUUUUUCUAGGUCACACCCAUCACUUUCCCUGGGCCAUUAGCUCAGGUGGUUAGAGCGCACCCCUGAUAAGGGUGAGGUCCCUGGUUCAAGUCCAGGAUGGCCCAUAUCUCUAUGUUGGGGGUAUAGCUCAGUUGGUAGAGCGCCUGCUUUGCAAGCAGGAUGUCAGCGGUUCGAGUCCGCUUACCUCCACUGAAUACCACCUUUUACAUAUUGCUUAAAAGGGAAAAUGUUUUGAGUCGUGACUUUUUUGCUCUGAGCGAAUCUAGCUUCCUAUUUUAUCUAAGAAAUAAGAAGCUGGACUCAUUGAAUUUUUUUCAUUGUUUUCAGAGAACCUUGACAACUGCAUAGAUUAUUUUUGAAGACAAUAAGCAUCUUUAAUGAUGCAGAUUUAUUAUUUGUGCAAAUGCAUUAAAUAACAAUUCUAUUAAGCUGAUGCUUCAAUUAUUGAAGUUAUU
rnacentral:tRNA from 1 species